AUGGCUGAUGUUCUUCAAAACUUUGGUGGCAUUACGACGGCGUUCCCGAUUAGAUAUCUAGGCCUCCCAAUCACGACGGGGCGUAUUAGACUAGUACAUAUUCAGGCCAUUCUGGACAGGAUCCGGGCUCGCCUUGCCGGCUGGAAAGGCAGAUUAAUGCCGUUGGCUGGUCGGCGUGUCCUAGUACGUUGCGUACUUUCGGCCAUGCCCACCUUUGCGCUCAUAGCCCUUCGAGUUCCAAAGAAGUUCUAUAAAGACGUAGACAAAUCACGGCGGCGUUUCCUCUGGGCAGGAGAUGAGGAGAUGUCUGGUGGAAAGUGCAAAGUGGGCUGG
rnacentral:rRNA from 1 species